AGCGUCGGUGCCGUGUUCUGUGACUGACUCGGCUUGCGUCGGGCUGGCGGGCGCCCGCCGGUCCGUCACAGAACACGGGACCGGCCGCAU
rnacentral:miRNA from 14 species